rnacentral:lncRNA from 1 species
AAACUCCGAGCUUCAGUCCUGCCACAGAACCCUUCCACCAGGCCAGAAAGCAGUUAUAAAGUCCAAAUCAGGCUCUCGUGGUGAAAAGCCUUUGAGCCCAGCACUUGAGAGGCAGAGGCCAGCCUGGUCUACAGAGUGAACUCCAGGGCAUCUGUCUUGAAAAAAAGCUCAAAUUCAGAAAAAGACUCUGACUGGCCCCUUGAUCUCAGCCCCGGGGAAUCUGAGGCAGCACAAACAGUAUUGAAACUGAAACCUUAUCUCAAGAAAGGGGGAGGGCCGAGAGGAAAAGAGCGUACUAUAUAAGACCGAGAAAAACUAGAUACGGCCAGCAUGAUGGCUUACUGGAUGAAGGAGCUCGCUGCCAAGCCCGACCGUCUGAUCGUCUGAGCUCAAUCCCUGGGAUUGUGCAUGGUGGGAGGACAGAGUCCACAACUACAGAUUGCCCUUGGUCCUUCUCAUACACCGUGCACAUACACUUGUUAAAUAAAUGUUUU